UUAAAUAUUAAGUAGGACAAAGUGCUUGACAAGAAUCUGUUCAGGGAUCACUGAACUCGAAAGGUUUAAAAGUAAUUGAAAAUAAAACCAGCCAGGCUUACUGUCCUUUGGACCCUGUGACAGGUCACACAAACACACACCAGGAGAUCUGAGCUACAGCCUUGUACUGGGUUCCUCUCUCCUCUGCAAAACCAUCAUCCAUUCCCUGCAAAGACUGGCUGGCAGAGUUCCCAACCCAGUUUAACUUCUCCAGCAUGGGGCAGGGCACCCAUCGCUUUGCCCAUGCACACCAGCAUAUUCACGAGCUGGUUUCCCAGAAUGUCAACCUCUUCUCUCCCCAGCAAGGACAAGUCUAAACGGAUAUCAUGCUCAGCAGACUCAUUUUCCAUUCUCCAUGGCAAAGAAUCUGAGCCCUAGAGGAACGCGUUUCUCCCGAAGUCUCUCAGUCUCGCUUGCCGCUCUUGUUGAGAUCAAUUCAAACGCUGGGAAGAAGAUGGAUUAGCAGUUCCGUUUGGUAAAGGAGAAGGCAGAGCCUUGGGGAUUGUUUGACUUGAGUAUGUUGGAGGACAGACUGUGGGGCAAACAAGCAUCUUAUAUCAUGUGUUUUGAUGAAAAUGCAAGUGUGGAGGGAACAAGGAGAUGACUUUCCUUAGUUCUUAUCUUUGAAGGUGUUUGAGCAGGCAGCGCUGCCUUCUCGCCAUACGUCCUUAAAGUAAUUUACAACACUUCGGAUUGACUUCCCUAAAUAAAUCUCCCACGUGAA